UCUAAAGUUGUUACAGUUAUUAAAAGGUUAAUCUUCUACUAUUUGCCUCGUGUGGUUCCUUACUGGCGUGGUGGCAGCGGUUGGUUGUAUACGAACGUCCUUCGUUCCUUGCAAACUCAGGAUACGUAAAAUACUUGGCAGAAUAUGGUGGGAGACUGGGAGUGACACAGUGGACACUGUUUCCUGGAUAAUGAAGACGGUGUUGACAACAAAAUCUGGCCCGCCAAUACUGGACAAACUCCACUUGAUAAACAUCUUUUUCAUUACAGGAUGUCUACAAUUGAACCCAGCAACACACUUUAGAAACGCAAGGAAAUGGAGGGGGCCAUUUAGAAGUGGCUUUCCGAGUCUCGAGGUCGUGAUGUUGGCCGCAAAGACAGAGCAAGGGUCAACCCGAUGCUUCCUGAGUAGAAUGUUGACUUAUUUACUUACCAUAAAAAUUCGGAUUUACGACUCAGAAUUAAACCAACAAAAAUUGUCAGAAUAUUUUUCAAAUUGAUCAUGUACAAUAUGUAUGCUUCUAUUGUUUUAUCAUAAACACAUCAAUGUCGUGUGACAUGUUAAGUAGUUUGUAUGCAAAAUGUAUCACAAUAAUGUAAUAAUGAGAUAUCUCCAACUUUUUCCCUAAAUUUUCAUAUCGUUAAGGGUUGCAAGAAGAGCAUUUCUUAUCUAUAUUUAUAGGCAAAUCCAUGUUGCUUAUACUUUUUUGUAUAAACAUAAGACAAACUGUCCAUGACAAAUAAGAGACCCAUCAACAAGAAAAAUAUGUUUAGUUCACAUUUGGAUGAUUGUUCUAAAGAAGACCCUUAAUAAGCGAAACCUGUUGGCAUUGAAUAAUUUUCAUAAUAUCUCGGAAUGAUGUCGGUUUUUGUUUUACUAUAAUAUUUUCUUAUCCUGGGUACACCAUUUUAAACUUUAAACACUCACAAUAAACUUAUUUUAGGAUGAAGUAAGAAAUUUGGCUGAAUGAAAUAAACUACUUAAGUGUGUUACGCUUUUCGGGCCAGAUGACUUUAUAUCAACCCCAUUCAGUCAUGUCAGUUCACUAGUCAGUAUUUCAAGGUGCAUUAAUUGUGCCAAUUAACUUGAAACUGUUAUUUCAUUUCUGGUUUGAAACGCUGCUUUAUGUCUAAGCAAUAUUGUUAUACUUGAAUGUGUAGAUGCACUCCAUGGUCUGUUUAUUAGAAUUGUGCGUCUUUCGAUUAGUGUAUUUUUUAACACAUUCGUUAAAGCAUUUGGAGCUCCUCGGCCAUUUUUAUCGAAAACAACCUCAGAUGUAUGCCGGUACAUCAGUUGAAGUAGUUUGUAAAUUUCUUAAUUAUAUCAUUAAUUAAAUGUAGGGUUUUAGAAUUGUGUUUAUUGAUCUAAGUUUAAAUUGAUUGCCAGUGAAGUGUAUUAUUGCAAACAUAAUUAAGAUUCCCAGGAGUUAAGUCAUAAAGUUUAACUGCUAAAAAAUUUACUACGCGAUCUACUUGCAGCGGACUUAAACAUACUGCUUUUUGAGUAUCCAAAUAUAUCAGAGGUUGUUUUUGAUAAAAUGGUCGAGGAGCUCCGAAUGUCGUUAAAGCCUUUAAAAGGUGUGUUUUUACAUGUAAUUUUUGACACGCUUUUUCAGUUAGACAGCUUUAACUGACAGAUACAAUCAAUAAAACAAAGUUUUCACUUAUUAUUAAGUUAUCAAUCAAAUUACCAUAUAAAUGUACUAGAUCUUUUUAGCUUGGUAUUGUCAAAUCAAACUGAAAAAAGUGUCAUAAUUUCAGUCACAUUUUUCUUGUG